rnacentral:piRNA from 2 species
GACCUGCUUCUGGGUCGGGGUUUCG